UGCGGAGCAACCUGCGCCAGCUCACGCUCAGCUGCCCGGGGCCUGGAGGCGACCCACUCGAGUCCCCCGACGCUCCCCAGCUGGUGCUGCCGGCCAACAUCGGGGACAUUGAGGUGCUGAACCUGGGGAACAACGGCCUGGAGGAUGUGCCUGAAGGUCUGGGGUCGGCUCUGGGCAGCCUUCGUGUCUUGGUCUUGCGCAGGAACCGCUUUGCCCGGCUGCCCCCCGCGGUGGCGGAGCUAGGCCAUCACCUUACGGAGCUGGAUGUGAGCCACAACCGGUUGACAGUCCUGGGUGCCGAGGUGGUGAGCGCCCUAAGGGAGCUGCGCAAGCUCAACUUGAGCCACAACCAGCUGCCAGCUCUGCCUGCCCAGCUGGGUGCUCUCGCCCACCUGGAGGAGCUGGAUGUCAGCUUCAACCGGCUAGCGCAUCUGCCAGAUUCUUUCUCCUGCCUCAACCACCUGCGCACCCUCGAUGUGGACCACAACCAACUCACCACCUUUCCCAGGCAGCUGCUGCAGCUGGCUGCCCUGGAGGAGCUGGAUGUAUCCAGCAACCGGCUGCGAGGCCUACCUGAGGAUAUCAGUGCCCUGCGUGCCCUGAAGAUUCUCUGGCUGAGUGGGGCUGAGCUUGGCACUCUGCCCAGCGGCUUCUGUGAGCUGGCCAGUUUGGAGAGCCUCAUGUUAGACAACAACGGGCUGCAGGCUCUGCCCCCCGAGUUCAGCCGCCUGCAAAGACUCAAAAUGCUCAACCUUUCGUCCAACCUCUUUGAGGAGUUUCCUGCUGCGCUGCUGCCCCUGGCUGGUCUGGAGGAGCUCUACCUUAGUCGCAACCAGCUCACCUCAGUGCCAUCUCUUAUUGCUGGGCUGGGCAGGCUUCUCACCCUGUGGCUGGAUAAUAACCGCAUCCGCUACUUGCCGGACUCCAUUGUGGAGCUGACUGGCUUGGAGGAGCUGGUGCUUCAGGGCAACCAGAUCGCUGUUCUGCCCGACAACUUUGGCCAGCUCUCCCGCGUGGGCUUGUGGAAAAUCAAGGACAACCCACUGAUUCAGCCCCCUUAUGAAGUCUGCAUGAAGGGGAUCCCCUACAUCGCAGCCUACCAGAAGGAAUUGGCUCAUUCCCAGCCAGCUGUGCAGCCCCGCCUCAAGUUGCUCCUGAUGGGCCACAAGGCUGCCGGAAAGACCCUGCUCCGACACUGCCUCACUGAGGACAAAGUGGAGGGAGACCAAGGAGGAGGUGACAAGGAGAAGAGCUACCUACUUUUUCCUCCCCUUGGGAGCAAGGGCAUCGAGGUGACCAGCUGGACUGCGGAUGCUUCCCGGGGCCUGCGGUUCACUGUGUAUGACUUAGCUGGUGAUGAAAGCUAUGAAGUGAUACAGCCCUUCUUCCUCUCCCCAGGAGCCCUGUAUGUGCUGGUAGUCAACUUGGCCACCUAUGAACCUCGCUGCUUUCCUACUACUGUGGGCACUUUCUUGCAUCGGGUGGGGGCCCGGGUGCCUCACGCUGUGGUGUGCAUUGUGGGCACGCACGCGGACCUGUGUGGGGAGCGAGAGCUUGAGGAGAAGUGUCUGGACAUUCACCGCCAGAUUGCCCUACAGGAGAAGCACGAUGCAGAGGGCCUGAGCCAUCUAGCCAAGGUGGUGGAUGAGGCCCUGGCUCGGGACUUCGAGCUGCGCUCUGCCAGCCCCCAUGCAGCCUACUACGGUGUUUCAGACAAGAACCUUCGGAGGCGCAAGGCCCAUUUCCAAUACCUGCUUAACCACAGGCUGCAGAUCCUCUCACCGGUGUUGCCUGUUAGCUGCAGGGACCCCCACCAAUUGCAACGCCUUCGAGACAAGCUGCUCUCUGUAGCUGAGCACCGAGAAAUCUUCCCCAACCUACACAGAGUCCUGCCUCGAUCCUGGCAGGUGCUGGAGGAACUGCACUUCCAGCCACCUCAGGCACAAAGACUGUGGCUAAGCUGGUGGGACUCUGCCCGCCUUGGUCUGCAGGCAGGUCUGACAGAGGACCGGCUGCAGAGUGCUCUUUCCUACCUGCAUGAGAGCGGCAAGCUGCUCUAUUUUGAGGAUAGCCCGGCUCUCAAGGAGCAUGUUUUCCACAACCUCACCCGCCUCAUUGACAUCCUCAAUGUCUUUUUCCAGAGAGAUGCUUCUUUGCUGCUGCAUAAACUGCUCCUGGGGAGCAGUGGAGAGGGCGAGGGAGAGGGGGAAGGCUUCCCCACUAUAGCAGUGCCCACCCCAGGUCAGGAUUCACUCCGGGCCACCCAGUUUCAUCAUUAUGUGGAAGGCUUUCUGCUGCAUGGGCUCCUGCCAGCCCAUGUCAUUCGGUUGCUGCUUAAGCCUCAUGUCCAGGCUCAGCAGGACUUGCAGCUCCUACUGGAGCUGUUGGAGAAGAUGGGACUCUGUUACUGUCUCAAUAAACCCAAAGGCAAGCCUUUGAAUGGCUCUACAGCUUGGUACAAGUUCCCAUGCUACGUACAGAAUGAGGUGCCCCACGCAGAGGCCUGGAUCAAUGGGACCAACCUAGCUGGGCAGUCUUUUGUGGCCGAACAGUUGCAGAUCGAAUAUAGUUUUCCCUUUACGUUUCCACCUGGAUUGUUUGCACGCUACAGUGUCCAGAUCAACAGCCACGUGGUGCACAGGUCGGAUGGGAAAUUUCAGAUCUUUGCAUAUAGAGGGAAAGUUCCUGUGGUGGUGAGUUACCGACCCGCCAAGGGGGUCCUGCAGCCAGACACCCUGUCCAUUGCUAGCCAUGCAUCAUUACCAAAUAUAUGGACCGCAUGGCAAGCCAUCACCCCUUUGGUAGAGGAACUGAAUGUCCUACUUCAGGAGUGGCCUGGACUACACUACACUGUGCACAUCCUCUGUUCUAAGUGCCUUAAGAGAGGGUCCCCCAAUCCACACGCUUUCCCAGGGGAGUUGCUGAGUCAGCCCAGGCCAGAAGGGGUGGCAGAGAUCAUCUGCCCCAAAAAUGGCAGCGAGCGAGUGAAUGUGGCCUUGGUUUACCCACCUACACCGACUGUGAUCAGCCCCUGUUCCAAGUAUCUUCAUCCUUUCUUGGACAAUUAAGUGGAAAGGAUAGUGCUUCUUUCCCUCUGCUUCCAUUUUUACUGUACCCAAUCUGUGACUUUAGGAGCACCAAGUUUUAAGGGAAGAACGUUGGUGAAAAGCACAGAAACCAGUGACAUUCGUGGCUGUGGAAUUUCCAUGGAGUAAGCAGAGCAUGGGAACUGACUGGGACAUCUCUUGCCCCUGGAGAACCCACCAUGCUCCCAAGGGUCUUUGGGGCCCAGGGUGAAACCACCGCACCAGGUGCCUGCAGAGGACCCUUGGAGGGGUUGGAGGGGGCUGGGAAGAUGGGAGCCAACAUGGAGCAAAUGUUUCACAACCUGAACCUCAGAACUGUGAUCCUCCAAGGAGAGAGCUACUUGAAGAAAAGAAAAAAAAAAUGUUGAAUGGCUUCUCAGGGAUUUUGUUUUCCAUGUACACAUAAGCCAUAGUCCAGUCCGGGUGGCAGUGUUAAGAGCACUCAGAUUUCAGUUCUGUUCAAUGUGAAGGAGGGAUCGACUGACGUUCAUCGAUGUUCCGUCACUAGUGUAAAAUAUGUAUAUGUUAAUCUUUAUUUUUAUAAUAUGCAAAUACAUUUAAAUUUAUACAGUUUGAUGCUUCUAGCAUUAGUUAACACUGGGUGCAAUAUUCUACAUGAGAACUGUGCCAAGAUGGGGCUGGUGUCUUCUUUUAGUGUUAGACUUUUGUUCUUCAUCCUUUAGCCCGCCUUCUCAACUGAAAAGGCAAGGGAAAGCUAACCUGUAGUCCAUGGAUGGAUUCAGUUCUUAGAACUCUCCAAUAAUCACCAGGAACAUUCAGCCCAUUGAGACAGAGUCCCCUCCCAUCUUUUCAUCACACCCACUGCCUGUUAGUCACUGGGCAUGGUAGGAGAAUGAAUCUCUGCUCUCCCUACACAUCACCACUACUAGGGGCAGAGGGAGUCAUUUCUAGGGGCCAAAUGGGAUGAGGAAUCUGAAAUCCUGAGUCUUGGAACAACUUGAGAUAAUCUGAGGUCAAUUCUCAAUCAUGCAGCAAUUCUACUGUUAUGUGCCCUUUCCCCUGGAACAGUGUGUGUGAUUUAGCAGAGCCCUGUGUGAACUUCCACAUCGGCCUGUGGACCUUCAGGUAGGAUCAUACUUUCACAGAACUCCAUCCCUCAUGGGCUCUUUUUCAUUCAGAACCACUUGGAAGACAUCUACGGGAAGUAAACACUUAGAAACAGUCCCCAGAAAUUGCUCUCCAUUGUCCUCCUAGUUGGGGCCAAACAGCAUAAGCUGCAAUAGUAACACAUUCUCUGCAGAUCGUGAAAGGUUCUGUUGACACCGGCCUCCUCCAAGUGUUGACAGGAAGCAUGUAAAACUAACUGUUCCCCACAAGAAAAGUGAGUCAGCUGGCCCUACUCUAACACUUGUUUAUAAAGUAUUGACUCUUGGAAUACCAAGCACAUGCAGUCACCACAUAUCUUUAAGAGAAAUGCAUGCAGGUGGCUGCAUCAUGAAAAUUACCAAUCAAUUUGUGUAGAAUCUGUCCCGUUGACUUCCCUG